ensembl:lncRNA
GAUAUCAUACAUGAUUAAAUUGUUUUGCUGUAACACAAUCCUAAAUCGAUAGCUUUGAGGGAAUAGGAGGCCACACCCCCUUUGGGGCUGAAAGAGACCACUAGGCCACACCUUACACAUUUAGCUGUGGUCCCCACAAGGUAGGCGUUUAACGCAGCGCUCUCUCGGACACGUAUAGCUCUGGUCCCCACGAGGUAGGUAUUUACUGCAGCGCUCUCUCGGACACGUAUAGCUCUGGUCCCCACGAGGUAGGUAUUUACCGUAGCGCUCUCUCGGACACGUUUAGCUCUGGUCCCCACGAGGUAGGUAUUUACUGCAGUGCUCUCUCGGACACGUAUAGCUCUGGUCCCCAUGAGGUAGGUAUUUACCGUAGCGCUCUCUCGGACACGUAUAGCUCUGGUCCCCACGAGGUAGGUAUUUACUGCAGUGCUCUCUCGGACACGUAUAGCUCUGGUCCCCACAAGGUAGAUAUUUACCGUAGCGCUCUCUCGGACACGUAUAGCUCUGGUCCCCACAAGGUAGGUGUUUAACGCAGUGCUCUCUCGGACACGUGUAGCUCUGGUCCCCACAAGGUAGGUAUUUACCGCAGUGUGCUUUCUCAGACACGUUUACAACAGCAUUUUUUUUUUUUAAAAAAGAGAUGUUUCUGUUUGGUCCAUGAUCCAAUUAAGACACACCAUGAUCCAAACUCUAUAACAGUAUUGAACUCUUUUAAAAUGGUUAAAAUAUUACUGUAACGUAAAUCAGUGCCUACUGGAACCUACCUGAGUAUGUAGUUGGCUACGUAGAGGGCCGUUUCAGGAUACAUGCUUCUUCCCGUUCUGGUGUGUGUGUGUGUGUGUGUGUGUGUGUGUGUGUGUGUGUGUGUGCGCGUAUAUGUGCUGGCCUUUAAACUAAACACACUGACCCACAGCUAAAAUUAU